AUUCAGAGAUCCACCUGUCUCUGCCUCCUGAGUGCUAGGAUUAAUGGGGUACACCACCACUGCCCAGCCCUACAGCUUUUUUUAAAUCAAGAAAGUUUAAAUGGGAGGAAUUAAAAGUUCAUCCUCAGCUAGAAAAAUCACAGCCCACCUGGUAAAAAGCCAUGGGUCCCUUUGGUUGGUUGAGCAAGGAAAGCCUUGCUCUGAAUGGCUUCCUAGAAAUUUCCUGAGUCCUGGUCCAAACUGAACAGUUUCUAGCUCCUUCAUUGCCCUGCCAUCAUAAAGUAAUUUAGAUUAACCAUAGACUGAGGACAUAGUAAAGGCCAUUGUGUUAAUGCCCCCACCUCAUGGCUCUGGACCUUGUACAAAGAGAGAUUUUUUUUGGCCUCCUUCUUUCCUCUGAUACUAGUGUGACUCAUGCUUUCCCCUCUUGGGGCCCUAGUGACCCAUUCUUGUGUGAUCAUUAAUGGAGGUGGGGAGACUGAAACUGCCCUCUUAGUGGAAAGGCAAGCCCCAUUCUAAGCCCUUUAUCCAGUCAAAGACUCAUUCAAAACUUUCCAGCCUCUGAGCCAGCCAGUCAGCCUGGCCACACUGCCUGAACUCUUAUUCCAUGUAAAAUGUGCCAAGUCAGGGCUCUGAGGGCGACAGAACGGAACAGUGGAAAGAGCGUGCGCGGAGGACGUUGACAGCUUAGGAGGGAAGAAAAGCCAUGUGCACAUAACUUUAGUACAAAGCAGAACAGACUGUCCCUGAAGAGAUGGGGGGGGAGCUAAGAUCACAGGUGUCAGGGACAAAUAUUUAUGUAAAUCCUCUUAAAUCUCAAGCCAUUUGAAAUAAGGAUCCAACACUAUUUGAGCUUGGGAAGGUUGAAGGAUGAUUGAAAAAACAACCCUAUUUCUUCCAGCUGAAAGUUCUACGGGAGCUUGGGAAAUAGAAUGAAGAGCCAUGCUGAGGAGGAAAUAGGGCUUCACUGCAUAGGUAGUUCUUCGGAGAUUGCUGGAACAGCAGAAGCAGAGUCAAUCCAGGUAUCCUGGGCCCUCUUAGCUCUGGACUAGAGUAUAAACACAGUGUGGGAGGAGGAAGAGUGGUAUAGGUCUUACAAAGGAGGGUAAAUGAGGCCUUGCAUGACCAAUUGCUCCCUCUCUCCGGAUGAGCUGAGGAACUCUUGAUGCCUGCCCUGGCCACAGAGACCAGACUGUAAAGUGUGUAUCUUCCUCCUCAGCUGGCUGAAGCCUGGCCCUCACCCAGCUGUCCCUUCAACCAAGCGGCUCCCUGGCUUUGAGGAGACCUACUGUUAUCUCAAGAAGGAAAGGAACUUCAAACAGGAAGUCCAACAGGUUAUCUCUCCCUUCUGCCCUGAGUGGUAGUUCAUUUAGUUGUGGUGUGAUCACUGAUAAAGGAAUAGCAGGUGGCUAUCAGGUACACUGCUAGGGAGACCCUGAUCUGACCACGCCCUCUUCCUCCCACAGCUGACCACACUUCUGGGAACCAGGACACUCUCUUACCAUUUUCUGUUCCAAGAGUCAGUGCUCUAGAUGAGAAGCAGGGCUUUGACAAAGCAGGAAACACGGUACAAGGGCACAUCCUCCCGUCCUUUUGAGGAGAGAGUUGCUGCUUUUUUGUCACCCCUCAAGUCCCACUUCUUCAGAAUGACCCUCUUGCCACUUCACAAGCCACCCACGAGGGCUUUGAAGAAGUCCACGCACACUCAUGAUCUUGUGUAGAGGGAGCACUAGGAGUAUUUGUAUACUUUAAAAAGAGAGCGGAGGUAGCAAGGUGGCACAUGAAAUGACAAAUGAGCGGCGUGGCAAGCACACCAUUUAUACACACUUAGCACUCUGAGAUACCUCAAACAGUUCAGCGGGAGCCACUGGGGACAAAAGGCAGUAGUACAGAGAGAAAAGGCUCCUUGUAACUUUGCCUGAGUUUGUUUGGGGGAAUGGAAUGAAAGAGGAUGGAGGAGCAGCUCCCACAAAAGACUAUCUGAUGACACCGUGAACACCCUAGUCCCCUCAUUUAAAGGCACCGAAGAGCUUGGUUUAAAGAUCAAGUACAUUUUCUGGGAAGAGAAACACAUUCAGCUACAGAUCAGCCACUGGCAACAGAAACUGCACUAGUUUUUCGAUUUGGUCCUGAAAGGAGCCAGGAGAACCCACUUAGAAACAAAACAGAAAUCCAACAGUAACUGGGAAACACUUGGGAGCAGGAGCACCCCCCCAUUUUUUGAACAAUGCAUGCAUCCUUCAAAUAGAUAAAUUAGCAGCUUCAGAGAUGAGAAUAGCAGAGAAAUAAGAAAAAGGCAGACAGGGUCAGCAAGGGGGUGCUCUCAUCCCGCUGGCAUUCCAGGACAUCGCGCGUGGUUAAUUUUACUCUUCUUUGUGUAAUAAUAAACCAGUAUGUUCUCAA